UCGUAACAAGGUCUCCGUUGGUGAACCAGCGGAGGGAUCAUUACUGAGUUACCGCUCUAUAACCCUUUGUGAACAUACCUACAACUGUUGCUUCGGCGGGUAGGCCGUCCCCUGAAAAGGACGCCUCCCGGCCCGGAACGGACCCCCCGCGGGACCGGACCCGGCGCCCGCCGGAGGAUAACCAAACUCUAUUGCAACGACGUUUCUUCUGAGUGGCAUAAGCAAAAUAAUCAAAACUUUUAACAACGGAUCUCUUGGUUCUGGCAUCGAUGAAGAACGCAGCGAAAUGCGAUAAGUAAUGUGAAUUGCAGAAUUCAGUGAAUCAUCGAAUCUUUGAACGCACAUUGCGCCCGCCAGCAUUCUGGCGGGCAUGCCUGUUCGAGCGUCAUUUCAACCCUCAAGCUCUGCUUGGUGUUGGGGCUCUACGGUCGACGUAGGCCCUCAAAGGUAGUGGCGGACCCUCCCGGAGCCUCCUUUGCGUAGUAACAUUUCGUCUCGCACCGGGAUCCGGAGGGACUCUUGCCGUAAAACCCCCCAAUUUUCCAAAGGUUGACCUCGGAUCAGGUAGGAAUACCCGCUGAACUUAAGCAUAUC
rnacentral:rRNA from 1 species